AAAUAAGAAGCUAAUUUUAAAAGCAUUUAAUUUCGACUUAAACUAUUGAGAACAACUCUCCUUAUUUU
rnacentral:tRNA from 1 species